GUGGGGAAUCUUGCGCAAUGGGCGAAAGCCUGACGCAGCCAUGCCGCGUGAAUGAUGAAGGUCUUAGGAUUGUAAAAUUCUUUCACCGGGGACGAUAAUGACGGUACCCGGAGAAGAAGCUCCGGCUAACUUCGUGCCAGCAGCCGCGGUAAUACGAAGGGGGCUAGCGUUGCUCGGAAUUACUGGGCGUAAAGGGAGCGUAGGCGGACAGCUUAGUUAGAGGUGAAAGCCCAGGGCUCAACCUUGGAAUUGCCUUUGAUACUGGCUGUCUUGAGUUUGGGAGAGGUGAGUGGAACUCCGAGUGUAGAGGUGAAAUUCGUAGAUAUUCGGAAGAACACCAGUGGCGAAGGCGACUCACUGGCCCAAUACUGACGCUGAGGCGCGAAAGCGUGGGGAGCAAACAGGAUUAGAAACCCCUGUAGUCC
rnacentral:rRNA from 1 species